rnacentral:rRNA from 1 species
AUUGAACGCUGGCGGCAUGCUUUACACAUGCAAGUCGAACGGCAGCACGGGGGCAACCCUGGUGGCGAGUGGCGAACGGGUGAGUAAUGCAUCGGAACGUGCCCCGUCGUGGGGGAUAACACAUCGAAAGAUGUGCUAAUACCGCAUACGACCUGAGGGUGAAAGCGGGGGACCGCAAGGCCUCGCGCGAUGGGAGCGGCCGAUGUCUGAUUAGCUAGUUGGUGGGGUAAAGGCCUACCAAGGCGACGAUCAGUAGCUGGUCUGAGAGGACGACCAGACACACUGGGACUGAGACACGGCCCAGACUCCUACGGGAGGCAGCAGUGGGGAAUUUUGGACAAUGGGGGCAACCCUGAUCCAGCCAUGCCGCGUGCGGGAAGAAGGCCUUCGGGUUGUAAACCGCUUUUGGCAGGAACGAAACGGUGCGGGCGAAUACCCUGUGCUAAUGACGGUACCUGCAGAAUAAGCACCGGCUAACUACGUGCCAGCAGCCGCGGUAACAC